rnacentral:rRNA from 1 species
AACGAACGCUGGCGGCAUGCCUAACACAUGCAAGUCGAACGAGUUCUUCGGGUCUAGUGGCGCACGGGAGCGUAACGCGUGGGAAGCUGCCCUUUGGUUCGGAAUAACCGUUGGAAACGACAGAUAAUACCGGAUGAUGACGAAAGUCCAAAGAUUUAUCGCCAGAGGAGGAGCACGCGUAGGAUUAGCUAGUUGGUGAGGUAAAGGCGCACCAAGGCGACGAUCCUUAGCUGGUCUGUGAGGAUGAUCAGCCACACUUGGACUGAGACACGGCUCAGACUCCUACGGGAGGCAGCAGUGGGGAAUAUUGGACAAUGGGCGAAAGCCUGAUCCAGCAAUGCCGCGUGAGGGAUGAAGGCCUUAGGGAUGUAAACCUCUUUUACACGGGAUGAUAAUGACAGUACCGUGAGAAUAAGCUCCGGCUAACUCCGUGCCAGCCGCCGCGGUAA